rnacentral:rRNA from 1 species
GACGAACGCUGGCGGCGUGCUUAACACAUGCAAGUCGUACGGUAAGGCCCUUUCGGGGGUACACGAGUGGCGAACGGGUGAGUAACACGUGAGUAACCUGCCCACAACUUUGGGAUAACGCUAGGAAACUGGUGCUAAUACUGGAUAUGUGCUCCUGCUGCAUGGUGGGGGUUGGAAAGCUCCGGCGGUUGUGGAUGGACUCGCGGCCUAUCAGCUUGUUGGUGGGGUAGUGGCCUACCAAGGCGGCGACGGGUAGCCGGCCUGAGAGGGUGACCGGCCACAUUGGGACUGAGAUACGGCCCAGACUCCUACGGGAGGCAGCAGUGGGGAAUAUUGCACAAUGGGCGCAAGCCUGAUGCAGCAACGCCGCGUGCGGGAUGACGGCCUUCGGGUUGUAAACCGCUUUCAGCAGGGACGAAGCUUUUUGUGACGGUACCUGCAGAAGAAGCACCGGCGAACUACG